GGAAUUAUUAACUGAUUGAUCUGCAAAGUACGACAGGUGAUGAAUCAACCCAAAUUUACUCAGUUUUCACACACAUACACACGCCCUCGUGCAAUUUGUUCUCGACAAACUGGAGUAUAAGGAAGUCUGAUUCUUAAGCAUGUGAACCAUAAGAAUCUUGAAAAUCAAGCAGAAUACUGGAAGCAUAUAAAUAAUACAAGAGCUUGAAACGCAUUCCCUAUACGGUAGUUGGUGGCUUCUGCUCACGGGAAGCUGCACUCCAAUUACAGCAGGAGCACCAGUGGGCCAGCGGUGCCAGCACUGCAGGAACAGGGUGAAACCUCGCUUCGAGACCAUGGAUGAGGAGUGGGGCAUGGAGAGCUCUGCUCCCAGACCUGCCACAUAACUGAGCCCUUCAGUUUGAGCUAAGGUGUUCCACCUUGGAAGCAAGGACAGAAUUUGAUGGCCUCUGCAACAACAUCAGUGAUAAAAUUUAAUUUUAAAGGAGGUGCAUGUGCAAACCCCACCUGGCU
rnacentral:lncRNA from 1 species